rnacentral:rRNA from 1 species
UACGUAGGGGGGCAAGCGUUGUCCGGAUUCAUUGGGCGUAAAGAGCGUGUAGGCGGCCUGACAGGUCUGCUGUGAAAACUCGAGGCUCAACCUCGAGAUGUCGGCGGAAACCGUCUGGCUAGAGUCCGGAAGAGGAGAGUGGAAUUCCUGGUGUAGCGGUGAAAUGCGCAGAUAUCAGGAGGAACACCGGUGGCGAAGGCGGUUCUCUGGGCAUUACCUGACGCUGAGGAGCGAAAGUGUGGGGAGCGAACAGG